rnacentral:tRNA from 1 species
GGGCUGUAUAUAUGCAGGUCAGACGCUGUUUCGCUGCUCCCUACUCUACCGCAGAGUCUCAUUCGCAAUGAGAAGGUCGGGGGUUCGAAUCCCCCUAGCUCCACCA